rnacentral:rRNA from 1 species
GACGUAGGGCGCGAGCGUUGUCCGGAUUUAUUGGGCGUAAAGAGCUCGUAGGCGGCUUGUCGCGUCGAAUGUGAAAACUCGGGGCUCAACUCCGAGCUUGCAUUCGAUACGGGCAGGCUAGAGUUCGGCAGGGGAGACUGGAAUUCCUGGUGUAGCGGUGAAAUGCGCAGAUAUCAGGAGGAACACCGGUGGCGAAGGCGGGUCUCUGGGCCGAUACUGACACUGAGGAGCGAAAGCGUAGGGGAGCAAACAGG